rnacentral:rRNA from 1 species
AGAACGAACGCUGGCGGCAUGCCUAAUACAUGCAAGUCGAACGAACUCUUCGGAGUUAGUGGCGCACGGGUGCGUAACGCGUGGGAAUCUGCCCUUGGGUUCGGAAUAACAGGUUGGAAACGACUGCUAAUACCGGAUGAUGACGAAAGUCCAAAGAUUUAUCGCCCAGGGAUGAGCCCGCGUAGGAUUAGCUAGUUGGUGAGGUAAGGCUCACCAGGCGACGAUCCUUAGCUGGUCUGAGAGGAUGAUCAGCCACACGUGGGACUAGACGACGACCGGCCCAGACCUCCGUACGGGAGCAGCAGUAGGGAAUAGUGGACAAGU